UGCGGAAGGAUCAUUAAA
rnacentral:rRNA from 1 species